GACGAACGCUGGCGGCGUGCUUAACACAUGCAAGUCACGGGGCCGCAAGGCAACCGGCGAACGGUGCGUAACACGUGAACAACCUGCCCUCGUGUGGGGGAGUAGCCAUGCUAACGCGUGGGUAAUACCGCAUACGUUCUCUUGGGGGAGUCCCUGAGAGAGGAAAGCUCCGGCGCACGGGGAGGGGUUCGCGGCCUAUCAGCUAGUUGGCGGGGUAAUGGCCCACCAAGGCGACGACGGGUAGCNGGUCUGAGAGGAUGGCCAGCCACAUUGGGACUGAGAGACGGCCCAGACCUCCUACGGGAGGCAGCAGUGGGGAAUCUUGCGCAAUGGCCGAAAGGCUGACGCAGCGACGCCGCGUGU
rnacentral:rRNA from 1 species